rnacentral:rRNA from 1 species
UACAGAGGUGGCAAGCGUUGUUCGGAAUUACUGGGCGUAAAGGGCGCGUAGGCGGCCUUCUAAGUCAGACGUGAAAAUCCCCCGGCUUAACCUGGGAACUGCGUCUGAUACUGGGAGGCUAGAGUAUGGGAGAGGGAUGUAGAAUUCCAGGUGUAGCGGUGAAAUGCGUAGAUAUCGGAGGAAUACCGGUGGCGAAGGCGGCAUCCUGGACCUACAGACGCUGAGGAGCGAAAGCUAGGGGAGCAACGGGGAUUAAGAU